UUCAUAGAGUGUAAAGGCAUAAGGGAGCUUGACUGCGAGACCUACAAGUCGAGCAGGGUCGAAAGACGGACUUAGUGAUCCGGUGGUUCCGCAUGGAAGGGCCAUCGCUCAACGGAUAAAAGCUACCCCGGGGAUAACAGGCUUAUCUCCCCCAAGAGUUCACAUCGACGGGGAGGUUUGGCACCUCGAUGUCGGCUCAUCGCAUCCUGGGGCUGUAGUCGGUCCCAAGGGUUGGGCUGUUCGCCCAUUAAAGCGGUACGCGAGCUGGGUUCAGAACGUCGUGAGACAGUUCGGUCCCUAUCCGUCGUGGGCGUAGGAAAUUUGAGAGGAGCUGUCCUUAGUACGAGAGGACCGGGAUGGACAUACCUCUGGUGUACCAGUUGUCGUGCCAACGGCAUAGCUGGGUAGCUAUGUGUGGACGGGAUAAGUGCUGAAAGCAUCUAAGCAUGAAGCCCCCCUCAAGAUGAGAU
rnacentral:rRNA from 1 species